GACGAACGCUGGCGGCGUGCUUAACACAUGCAAGUCGAACGGUAAGGCCCUUCGUGUUUCACGAGUGCCGAACGGGUGCGUAACACGUGAGUAAUGUGCCCUUGACUCUGGGAUAACAGCCGGUACCGGUUGCUAAUACCGGAUCUACACAUGUGCCUGUACUGGUUUGUGUGGAAAGCUUUUUCGGUCUUGUAUCAACUCGCGGCCUAUCAGCUUGUUGGUGGGGUAAUGGCCUACCAAGGCUUCGACGGGUAGCCGGCCUGAGAGGGCGACCGGCCACACUGGGACUGAGAUACGGCCCAGACUCCUACGGGAGGCAGCAGUGGGGAAUAUUGCACAAUGGGCGGAAGCCUGAUGCAGCAACGCCGCGUGCGGGAUGACGGCCUUCGGGUUGUAAACCGCUUUCAGUAGGGACGAAGCGCAAGUGACGGUACCUACAGAAGAAGCACCGGCCAACUACGUG
rnacentral:rRNA from 1 species